rnacentral:rRNA from 1 species
UACGUAGGGGGCUAGCGUUGUCCGGAAUCAUUGGGCGUAAAGAGCGUGUAGGCGGCCCGAUAAGUCUGCUGUGAAAGUCCAGGGCUCAACCCUGGAAUGCCGGUGGAUACUGUCGGGCUAGAGUUCGGAAGAGGCAAGUGGAAUUCCUGGUGUAGCGGUGGAAUGCGCAGAUAUCAGGAGGAACACCUAUAGCGAAGGCAGCUUGCUGGGACGACACUGACGCUGAGGCGCGAAAGCGUGGGGAGCAAACAGG